AUUAGGAAUCUUGCACAAUGGGGGAAACCCUGAUGCAGCGACGCCGCGUGAAGGAUGAAGGGUCUCGGCCUGUAAACUUCUUUUGACAGGGAAGAAAAAAAUGACGGUACCUGUCGAAUAAGCCCCGGCUAACUACGUGCCAGCAGCCGCGGUAAUACGUAGGGGGCGAGCGUUGUCCGAAUUUACUGGGCGUAAAGCGCGCGUAGGCGGUUUCUUAAGUCUGGGGUGAAAGGUUCAACGCUCAACGUGAACAGUGCCUUGGAUACUGGGAGACUUGAGUCUGGGAGGGGGUAGUGGAAUUCCUGGUGUAGCGGUGAAAUGCGUAGAUAUCAGGAGGAACACCGGUGGCGAAGGCGGCUACCUGGCCUAAGACUGACGCUGAGGUGCGAAAGCGUGGGGAGCGAACGG
rnacentral:rRNA from 1 species